GGCUUAGAGUUUGAUCAUGGCUCAGGACGAACGCUGGCGGCGCGCCUAACACAUGCAAGUCGAACGGAACUUGAGAGAGCUUGCUUUUUCAAGUUUAGUGGCGAACGGGUGAGUAACGCGUGAGUAACCUGCCCUGGAGUGGGGGACAACAGUUGGAAACGACUGCUAAUGCCGCAUAAGCCCACGGUGCCGCAUGGCACAGCGGGAAAAGGAUUUAUUCGCUUCAGGAUGGACUCGCGUCCAAUUAGCUAGUUGGUGAGGUAACGGCCCACCAAGGCGACGAUUGGUAGCCGGACUGAGAGGUUGAACGGCCACAUUGGGACUGAGACACGGCCCAGACUCCUACGGGAGGCAGCAGUGGGGGAUAUUGCACAAUGGGGGAAACCCUGAUGCAGCGACGCCGCGUGGAGGAAGAAGGUUUUCGGAUUGUAAACUCCUGUCGUUAGGGACGAAUCAUGACGGUACCUAACAAGAAAGCACCGGCUAACUACGUGCCAGCAGCCGCGGUAAAACGUAGGGUGCAAGCGUUGUCCGGAAUUACUGGGUGUAAAGGGAGCGCAGGCGGACCGGCAAGUUGGAAGUGAAAUCUAUGGGCUCAACCCAUAAAUUGCUUUCAAAACUGCUGGCCUUGAGUAGUGCAGAGGUAGGUG
rnacentral:rRNA from 1 species